UACGUAUGGAGCAAGCGUUAUCCGGAUUUACUGGGUGUAAAGGGUGCGUAGGUGGCAGUGCAAGUCAGAUGUGAAAGGUCGGGGCUCAACCCAGGAGCUGCAUUUGAAACUGCAUAGCUAGAGUACAGGAGAGGCAGGCGGAAUUCCUAGUGUAGCGGUGAAAUGCGUAGAUAUUAGGAGGAACACCAGUGGCGAAGGCGGCCUGCUGGACUGUUACUGACACUGAGGCACGAAAGCGUGGGGAGCAAACAGG
rnacentral:rRNA from 1 species